UGUUUGGCUGCUAAAUAUGUCAGGACAGGUGUAAUUAGAGCCUGAAUAGGCGUGUUUAAAGCCUGGGGUGCCAUGACUACUUUAGCAGGCAGCAUGCGUGGUGACUACUUGAAUAUGCCUGGUGACUACUUGAGCCUAAUUUACAUACUACGUGUGACAUUUAUAAAAAAAAAUUCUCAUCACUUAAAGAUUUGCCAGCAGACAUCCAGUCAUGACUUGUAUGGACAGCAUGUUAUCUGACCUAUCUGUGAGCUGCUAAUUAGUCUUGUAAACCCAAGAUGGAUUUGAGAAGUUUUUCAGAGUGAACGAAGCGUGUUCUCCGGCAAGAGACAACCAAAGUAAAGAAACCCCAUGAGGCAGAAGCCAAUUUUCUUCAUCUUAGAGGAAAAUUUCUUCAAUCCAAGCCACUUUUAAACUAUUUUAUUGAAUUACCCAUCACAUCUUCCUCUGGCAAGAAGUUCCAUGGUUGCACUGCUCUUAGAGUAAAGAAACCCCUUUUAGGUAAAUCUUGAAACAUUCCUGUAGACAUGGCGAUGUCAUUUGAUAUAUGUAUUUACAGUAUG